rnacentral:rRNA from 1 species
GACGAACGCUGGCGGCGUGCUUAACACAUGCAAGUCGAACGGAAAGGCCCUGCUUUUGCGGGGUGCUCGAGUGGCGAACGGGUGAGUAACACGUGAGUAACCUGCCCUUGACUUUGGGAUAACUUCAGGAAACUGGGGCUAAUACCGGAUAGGAGCUCCUGCUGCAUGGUGGGGGUUGGAAAGUUUCGGCGGUUGGGGAUGGACUCGCGGCUUAUCAGCUUGUUGGUGGGGUAGUGGCUUACCAAGGCUUUGACGGGUAGCCGGCCUGAGAGGGUGACCGGCCACAUUGGGACUGAGAGACGGCCCAGACUCCUACGGGAGGCAGCAGUGGGGAAUAUUGCACAAUGGGCGGAAGCCUGAUGCAGCAACGCCGCGUGCGGGAUGACGGCCUUCGGGUUGUAAACCGCUUUCGCCUGUGACGAAGCGUGAGUGACGGUAAUGGGUAAAGAAGCACCGGCUAACUACGUG